rnacentral:rRNA from 1 species
AACGAACGCUGGCGGCAGGCUUAACACAUGCAAGUCGAGCGCCCCGCCAGGGGAGCGGCAGACGGGUGAGUAACGCGUGGGAACGUACAUUUUGGUGCGGAACAACUCCGGGAAACUGGAGAUAAUACGGGAUAAGCCCUAACGGGGAAAGACUUAUCGCCGAAAGCUCGGGGCGCGUCAGAUUAGCGGUGUGGUGGGGUCACGGCGCAGCAAGGCGACGAUCAGUAGCUGGGCUGGGAGGAUGAGCAGUCACAGUGGGACUGCGACACGGCCCAGACUCCUACGGGAGGCAGCAGUGGGGAAUAUAGGAGGAGGGGCGCAGGCCUGAUCCAGCCACGCCGCGUGAGUGAUGAAGGCCUUAGGGUUGUAAAGCUCUUUUGUCCGGGAAGAGAAUGACGGUACCGGAAGAAUAAGCCCCGGCUAACUUCGUG